rnacentral:lncRNA from 1 species
GUAUUUAUUACAUUCCUAGUAAUAUAUGAUUUCUUACAAUGAUGAUAAAAUAUUUAAAUUUUUUAUAAAUAAUGGAAAUUUUUCAUUUUUUUUGCUGUUACAGUAUAGAAUAAUUGUCAAUACAGUGAGGUAUGCUACAACGAAAGAUGCUAUAAUGAAUGAAUGCUACAAUGAACAGUUUUAUCAAUAAACAUAGGAUGCUACAAUGAACACAGACGCUACUACGAAUGCAAGAGAAAAUAAUAGUUUGACUUAGGCCGGAUUCACACUGGCCAGCAAUUGCAAUCACGACUGACGGCUUGCGACAGAGCAUGCACACUGAAAAUGACCGGCUUCACGAUUUUUUGAAUCGACCAAUAGGAGCUGCGUUAACAGCAUCCAAUAAGAGAUUGCAUUUUUCUUCCACAUUUUUGAAUCUUCGUGCACGUUGUCGUGAAACGAAAAUACAUACGCAAUCAAAUGUCUCCUUUCUAUUGACUAUCAUAAUGACAUAUCCGUUGCUAUCGCCACACUAUUCGGCAAAUUGAAUAUUGUCGUGGUCGCAGCGAUGAGUCGCGAAGCGGGUCCUGAUGGGGUUGUUUCCAUAGCAGCAGUCGCGAGGCCAGUGUGAAUACAGUUUAAUACGAUUAAACGUUAUUUACGUUUGAUGCAUUUUCUAUUAAAUCACUUCAAUUUUUCACAUAAUCUAUUAAAAAAUGCAGUUUUAAACUGAAUCAAUUUUUUGUCCGUUUUUAAAUUACUAUACGACGAAAAUAUUUUUCCUGACCCUUUCAUAACAGUUUAUUUGCAACAUAAAAUUUCUAUCGAUCGUAUAUAAC